rnacentral:rRNA from 1 species
UGGGGAAUUUGGACAAUGGACGCAAGUCUGAUCCAGCCAUGCCGCGUGCGGGAAGAAGGCCUUCGGGUUGUAAACCGCUUUUGUCAGGGAAGAAACGCUCUGGGCUAAUACCCUGGGGUAAUGACGGUACCUGAAGAAUAAGCACCGGCUAACUACGUGCCAGCAGCCACGGUAAUACGUAGGGUGCAAGCGUUAAUCGGAAUUACUGGGCGUAAAGCGUGCGCAGGCGGUUAUGUAAGACAGAUGUGAAAUCCCCGGGCUCAACCUGGGACCUGCAUUUGUGACUGCAUAGCUAGAGUACGGCAGAGGGGGAUGGUAUUCCGCGUGUAGCAGUGAAAUGCGUAGAUAUGCGGAGGAACACCGAUGGCGAAGGCAAUCCCCUGGGCCUGCACUGACGCUCAUGCACGAAAGCGUGGGGAGCAAACA